rnacentral:rRNA from 1 species
UACGAAGGGGGCUAGCGUUGCUCGGAAUGACUGGGCGUAAAGGGCGCGUAGGCGGCUGUGACAGUCAGAUGUGAAAUUCCUGGGCUCAACCUGGGGGCUGCAUUUGAUACGUGAUGGCUGGAGUGGGGAAGAGGGUCGUGGAAUUCCCAGUGUAGAGGUGAAAUGCGCAGAUAUCAGGAGGAACACCGAGUGGCGAAGGCAGGUCGUCUGGGCCACUACUGACGCUGAGAAGACGAAAGCAUGGGGGAGCGAACAGG